rfam:Eubacterium sp. CAG:202 genomic scaffold, scf212
AUCUUAUCAAGAGCGACUGAGGGAACAGGCCCUGUGAAGUCCGGCAACCUGCAUUUGCAAGGUGCCAAAUCCUGCGGUAUUUACCGAAAGAUGAGUC